rnacentral:piRNA from 1 species
UACCACGAGUUUACUUACAGACACCAAGGC